AGAAUGUCUUUAUAUAUUAAGGGAAUCUAUUGGAAUGACUUACUGUGCACAGUCCAACUAACCGAACAAUAGGCAACUAAGAAUGGGAAGUCCAAGAAUCUAGUAGUUUCUCAGUACUAGGAGGGUAUUUCACCUGGCCUUCUAUAUAAGCUGGAAUCCUGAAGAAGUUAGUUCCAAUAGAUGUGCUGGCAAGUAACUGCAAGCAGAAGGCCUCAGUUUAAAGAAGAAUCUCAUGUCUGUAUUCUUUCUGGAUGCCUUACUUUCAAAACAGAAGGAUGAACAUCACUGCCUCUCAAAACUUUCUCAGAGUUAGAAGAAUUCUCAUCUGCUAAAAGCAGUACAGUCUGAAAUUAAAGAGACAUAAGACAAUGCCACCAGGUAUCCAGAAGUUGCUAAGAGUGAAAUCUGGGUCUGGCCAGUCUGCGAUAUAAAUGACAACUUGGUUACUGGGCCUGUUUAACACACACUGAUGUCUUCACUUUGAAUAAUGAAGUUCUAAAUGUCUAUUCUUUGCAUUUACAGAGAUGAUGGAAUAAAGCUUUGGUUUGGGA